rnacentral:rRNA from 1 species
GACGAACGCUGGCGGCGUGCUUAACACAUGCAAGUCGAACGGAAAGGCCCUGCUUGCUGGGUACUCGAGUGGCGAACGGGUGAGUAACACGUGGGUGAUCUGCCCUUCACUUCGGGAUAAGCCUGGGAAACUGGGUCUAAUACCGGAUAGGAGCCAUUUUUAGUGUGAUGGUUGUAAAGUUUUUUCGGUGUCGGAUGAGCUCGCGGCCUAUCAGCUUGUUGGUGGGGUAAUGGCCUACCAAGGCGGCGACGGGUAGCCGGCCUGAGAGGGUGGACGGCCACAUUGGGACUGAGAUACGGCCCAGACUCCUACGGGAGGCAGCAGGGGGGAAUAUUGCACAAUGGGCGCAAGCCUGAUGCAGCGACGCCGCGUGGGGGAUGACGGCCUUCGGGUUGUAAACUCCUUUCGCUAGGGACGAAGCUUGUUGUGACGGUACCUAGAUAAGAAGCACCGGCUAACUACGUG